AAGGAGAGCUUGGAGUAAGGAGUGUCCAACUCACCCAGAGAAAAAGAACUGAUAUAGCUCUGCCCAUUGCUUUCCAAACGGAACCAUUCACUUUAUUUUUUCUUUUUUCUUUAGUCCACCAGGGUGCGCUGGGUGCCUCUGGUCUCUGCCGCCGCCGGUUCCUAAAAUUGCCACUGGGUGGCGCUGCCUCCCGCACGUGUAAUGCUGUUUCAGACCAAGCCUCUAACCUUAGUCCUUCCCAAAUCUGGACCCAGAGUCAAUGUGCCAGAUACUAUUCCAGGUACCUGGAACAGGGCAGGAGAUGGAUACAACCAGGACAGACGAGGUCUCAAGUGUCUGUGGACCACUUCUAUCCCAUUGCCUCCAGGGGUUCCCAGGGCUGUGGCUUGGAAUACUGUCCUUUACCUUCCCCAUCAGUGACAUGGCCCCAGUGCAAAGCAUCGCACACGGACCAUCGCACAUGGGUGAUGCUCCUUCAUCAAGUCUCGAGUCCCAUGAUGCUCCUUCAUCAAGUCUCGAGUCCCAUGGGGUUGAUGCGCUGUGACAACCUGAAGAAGCCUCUCCUCUGCAGAACAGAGCCUGUGGUCUCCAAAUUUAACUUCUGCAAGCACCCGAGGUCCCCGAGUUACCUCCUCAUGUCUUCUGUCCACACUUGGAGUAGGAUUUGGUUGCUCACCAGUCUGCUGCUCUAUGGAGCGUGGCUGCUCCUGUGAGACGCUGCCUCUGUGGUACCUCUGGAGCUCUGGAAGGGUGUAGAGUCCAUUCUGUGGAGAAGUGGUGAAUGUCCAUACGCAUGUCUUUAAUCCAGCGCUCAGGUGGUAGGGGCAGGCGGAUCUCUGUGAGUUUGAGACCAGCCUGGUCUACAGAGUGAGUUCCAGGACAGCCUGGGCUACACUGAGAAACACUGUCUUGAAAACAUUAAAAAAAAAAGUUAUGUGAUGUCUCUGCUACUUACUAGCUCCAGUCUUGAAAACAUAAAGAAAAUCAUGUUCAUAAUUAUUAUUAAAUGACAAGAACUAAGAGGUAUGAAGUGAAGGAUGAUGGAGGAAAACUGAGAAUGCCCUGCUGGCUUGGCAAUCUGCCUAUCUAAGACACUUGAGCAAAAUCCGAGCUCUGUCUUCACUAAUGAAUGAUCUUGGGGUGCUGGCUCAUUCUCUCUGGGUCAUGGUUGUUCUAAGAACCAAAUGGGACGUUUCGUGGAAACAAUCUCCAAAUAAAUGCAUGUGAUUGUGGAUGAGACACAAAUCCAAGUCCUUUCCGCAAGUUGGCUGAGGGGAACCAGACUGUGGCUUAUAGAAGGUCACACCCCUCUUCCUGCUGCUCUGAGGUUCAUUUAGAACAUCUCUUCUGGCUUGCAAUAAACAAAUUUGGCAGCAGCCUGUGCUCUGGGCCAGUGCUGGCUUGUUCAGUCUUGACCCCACUCAGGAGAACGUUCAUACAGUUUUCUGUAGAACUCACUCUUAGGAUGCUCUACUGCAUACAUUUUGGUUUUGCUCUAAAAUCUUGAAAUGCCAAUUUCUGAAAGGUUUCCAGGUUAGGACUUCAGGUUGUUUUGAAAAGGUCUUCAGAAAUAAACUUUUGAAUUCUGUGA